UCUGGACCUCAGACCCCGCCUCCGUGAAGCAGAGUGGCUAUUUGGGCCGUCAGUGGUGAGGCUUUAUAACCAAGGUUGACUGCCUGGCUCGAGCCAAAUAUCUGUCAGCCUGUAAUCAGGGCAAAGAGGCCGGCAAUAUCAGUCGCUCCCUCAUGUGCCUUGGCCAAGUGAUCAUGGCACUCGUGGACGUGUCUAAUGGGAAGAACCGCCACAUCUGCUACAGGAAUUCAAAGCUCACUUUUCUUCUCAGGAACUCCCUUGGAGGCAAUGCCAAGACUUGCAUCAUAGCCAACGUGCACC